GACGAACGCUGGCGGCGUGCUUAACACAUGCAAGUCGAACGGAAAGGCCCUGCUUUUGUGGGGUGCUCGAGUGGCGAACGGGUGAGUAACACGUGAGUAACCUGCCCUUGACUUUGGGAUAACUUCAGGAAACUGGGGCUAAUACCGGAUAGGAGCUCCUGCUGCAUGGUGGGGGUUGGAAAGUUUCGGCGGUUGGGGAUGGACUCGCGGCUUAUCAGCUUGUUGGUGGGGUAGUGGCUUACCAAGGCUUUGACGGGUAGCCGGCCUGAGAGGGUGACCGGCCACAUUGGGACUGAGAUACGGCCCAGACUCCCACGGGAGGCAGCAGUGGGGAAUAUUGCACAAUGGGCGGAAGCCUGAUGCAGCAACGCCGCGUGCGGGAUGACGGCCUUCGGGUUGUAAACCGCUUUCGCCUGUGACGAAGCGUGAGUGACGGUAAUGUGUAAAGAAGCACCGGCUAACUACGUG
rnacentral:rRNA from 1 species